GUCGGGGUGGCUCAGACUGGUUAGAGCGCCUGACUCAUAAUCAGGAGGUCGCGGGUUCAAAUCCCGCCCCCGACA
rnacentral:tRNA from 1 species